rnacentral:rRNA from 1 species
AGAGUUUGAUCCUGGGCUCAAAUUGAACGCUGGCGGCAUGCCUUACACAUGCAAGUCGAACGGCAGCACGGGGGCAACCCUGGUGGCGAGUGGCGAACGGGUGAGUAAAACAUCGGAACGUGUCCUGUAGUGGGGGAUAGCCCGGCGAAAGCCGGAUUAAUACCGCAUACGCUCUGCGGAGGAAAGCGGGGGAUCUUCGGACCUCGCGCUACAGGGGCGGCCGAUGGCAGAUUAGCUGGUUGGUGGGGUAAAGGCCUACCAAGGCGACGAUCUGUAGCUGGUCUGAGAGGACGACCAGCGACACUGAGACUGAGACACGGCUCAUACUCCUACGGGAGGCAGCAGUGUGUGAUUUUGGACGACGGGGGCAACCCUGAUUGCCAAUGCCGCGAGUAUGGCCUUCGCCUUGUAAAUUGUAUAUUGUCUUGUGUAGAGAAAGACUGCCUCAAUACCUUGGGGGGGAUGACGAUGACGGAAGAAUAAGCACAGGCUAACUACGUGUCAGCCGCCGCGGUAUAC